AAGGGCACCACAAGAACGCGUGGAGCAUGUGGCUUUUUUUGACUCAACGCGGGAAAUCUUACCGGGUCCGGACACACUGAGGAUUGACAGGCAAUAUUAAUAAUUUAUUUUUUCUGUGUGUUUACUCACAUCAGUAAUAUAUUUUAUUAUGUUAAAUAUGCUAGUCCUUUCAUGAUUAUGUGAUAGGUGGUGCAUGGCCGUUCUUAGUUCGUGGAGUGAUCUGUCUGCUUAAUUGCGUUUCACUAAGGGCCUAGAAAUUUACGUAUGUUGCGACACUUUGACCCCUCCUUGUGUGCGUGCGUCUUUGUUUGUUUAGCUCAUACAAAUAGGUCCUGAAAGCAACGAACGUGACCGCAACCUCUUGUUGCUUUCGUAUAUAUAUGAUACAUGUAUUUUAUUAUACUAGUAUAAUAUAUUAUACAUACUGCAUAUAUAAUAUUAUGUGUUCAUUGUCACUAACUAAAAAUAUAAGACUUGUCUUUUUUUUAUGUUGNGUAGGUCUUUACAUAUUUUGUAUAUCUUUAUGCACAGAAAGCUUUUAAACUAGAGGGACCGCUGUUACUUUCUUAAACCAGAGGAAGGUUGCGGCAAUAACAGGUCUGUGAUGCCCUUAGAUGUUCCGGGCUGCACACGUGCUACAAUGAUUAUUGCAGUGAGCAUCUCAUUUUAUUAUUCACACCGCAUGCGCGAGACCAUUUAUUCUCUCUUCGCGAGUGUUUUAAAUGUGUAUCUCUGCGCGCGGUAAAGCCUACUUCGAAAGUAAGCGGGUAAUCAAUUAGAAGUAAUGAUUUCCUAUAUUUUAUUGUAUCAUUUUUUUGGUAUAGUAAUUCUGCACACAUAUAUACGGCAUCUUUACCCGGGUAGCCUUGUUGUUACUUUUUGUGCGUAUCGAUGUUUUUUUCCGUAUGUGCGAUUGUCAAUUCAUGGUGGGGACAGACCAUUGUUAAUUGUUGGUCUCGGUCUUAACUAGGAAUGCCUUGUACGGGUCUUUGGUUCAACAAACCACCCGGAAUACGUCCCUGCCCUUUGUACACACCGCCCGUCGCUCUUACCGAUGGACUUCUCUGUGAGUUUGAGGGACUGGGAACGCAUGUAAUAAAUUUUAUUUAUUUAUGCACACCUAUGGAAACUUAAACGAACAGUGUGGUCUAAAGGAAAGAGAAGUCGUAACAAGGCAUCAGUAGGUGAACCUGCAGAAGGAUCA
rnacentral:rRNA from 1 species